CUUCUUCCUGCUCUCUGCUCUGUCGCUGCCAUGUGAUCCUGGCAAGACAGAACACAUUCUGCGGGUGUCUUAUGAUUAUGGUUGAUAAUUAAGACUGAGAUAGCAGAUAAGAAAUCCUAGUCAUUGGCCACCAGCAUUGUAUCUAAUAUAAGUCUCCAUGUGUUAUUUGGGGCCCUAACACAGCAGGCGGAACUCCAGCAGCUGGCAGAAAGACUUACAUUACAGGGAAGGGGAGACAGAAGAAAAGGAGAGAAAGAAAGGCAUCUAAGAAUAAAUGACCAGGAAAGUGGAGAAGUCUUGCCAGCUGUUUUGAGAUUGUCAAUUCUGUCCCAGUCAGGAAAGUUACACUUAGUGUUUUGAUAAAGCUUGAGGGGGACCUUUCUUGGGGGACCUCAGUGGAUUCCAUGGGGGUUGAGGUUGACCAAGGCAGAGGGACAAACAUGCCAGGCAACAGAGCUUAAGUGAGAAGUUUUAAUAAAAACAGAAGGGAUGGGGAAGGAAGGAGAAAGGAGGUAAAAAGACAUGGAUACAGGACAGAAUAGAAGAGGGAGACAGGAGAAGUCCUGUCUGCCCCAGGGGAGCAGUGGGAAAGAGGAGCGGACAAAGAGAAGGGAGCAGAAAUAGAGCAUAAGUGGUUGGGAGGUCUUUCUUUUAAAGGGAUCCUUUGCACUUGCUUGCAGACUACACACUCAUGGAACCCUGGGCUGACCAGGGUACUGCCUGAGUGCAUUCUGCCAGGUGACAGGGGCAGGCCAGCAUAAUGCCUGAAUCCUAACACCUAGCACAUUUCCACAUGAGAUGUUUACUCAGGAAAAUCAGUUUCCUUCUGCCUGGUUCAUAUUGUAGAAGGUAUCAUUAAGUAUGUCAAACUCCAAAAUGAACGUACAGCUGGGAAUUCAGCACAUUUCACCCAGCCAUGUACAGCUGUGGGCAGCAGCUCACAGGUGUGAACUAGAAACAACUCUUGGAUGGGGCCACAGAGUCCAGUUCUAUCCUGUGACUCUGUUCUUCCAAGUUGGCCUUGAACUCAUAGAGAUCCACUUGCCUCUGCCUCCCACGUGCUGUGAUCAAAGGAGCUGGGAUUACAGGUCUAUGCCAUGAUGGGAAUUGAACCUAGAGCUUCUUGUGUGCUAGGCAAGCACUCUACUAGCUUUGUAGGUAAAUAUAGCCUAAGCGAAAGUGAGUGAAGGUUGCCAGCUGCUGAAAAUGGAACUAACUAGCAAUCAGCAGCCAACAUCUGCUCCUCAUUUCUCCAUGGCUUCCUGGCUCAAUCAAAAAGAAUACGUGUAAUCUUUGAAGAAAUUCCUGGAGAAGUUAGAAAAAAAUCACUGGAGAAUCUUCACCUUACUGACAAGGACUCUCCUGUCAUUCAGUGCUCUGUACUCCAGGAUUGCUGGCCCUCAAGCUUCUGGAGCUUUCCCUGCCUCCCAUGUCCCCAUAGCAGCUCUGGGAUUACAGAAGCGUGCACUUUGUCCCCAGCCAUGAUGUGGCUUCUGGGCAUCCAAACUCAGGCCAGCCUUGUGGAGCAAGUGCUUUACCCAGUGUGUCAUCUCUGAAGCCACAAGAAGCAUUUGGGGGAAAUGGCUCAGAAGUCAGAACCACACUCUUGCAGGAGACCUGAGCUCUGUUCCAAGCACACACAUCAGGCAGCUUACAACUGCCUAUGACUCCAGCUCCAGAAAACACAAAGGAUUUUUGAUGGACGAUGUAUGAGGGCCAAAGAAAAGCCUCCAGAGAUAGGUGAGGCAGGGUUUUAUAUGCCUCCCUGUCUAAAUCCUGGUUCUUUUGAGUCUAUCUUGGAUGGUGACCAUGAACUGCAGUGUGGAGAAUCAACUUCUCAAUCUGCAUUUCAAAGUAAAGUGUCAGGAACUUGAACCUAAGUGGGGAUGCUUUCUUCUCAGUAACGGUACUGUUGCCUUUGCUGUUAUAAUGGUCAAGUUGACUGGAGACCUACAGAGAGUAAUUCUUAGGCAUUUUUAACUACACUAAGCCGUCUAGGACUACAAGAAGACAAGUGUGCCUCGUUCUCUUUCACAAGUCCUUGCAAAGAAGAUGUCUCCUCUGGCUCCUCCCUCCAAGCUGGGGACUGUAGUCUUAGAGAUUUUUCUAUUUCUACCCACCUCUUUUUUUCCAGCAUAGUCUUUUCCUAGGUCAAUUUCUCUCUUUGUGAGUGGGGGACACCUGGGAGUGAGAGGCUGCAUAGCUGUCUUCCCUUCUCAUCUGGGAGUCUAAAAUAGGUUCUGUCUUUCUGUGGGACAGAAAGAAAUACUGAGUCUGGAUCUGGUACAUCCUCUUGCAUGUCACAUGGCCAUGCAAUGUUA
rnacentral:lncRNA from 1 species